AGUUGUUUAAAGGGAGCACAUUUUGAAAAUCUAGUUUCUUCAUACAAGCCUGGUAGGUGACUGAUGGUUCUGUACCUCAUGUACGCGCCACCGGGGUUUAUAUUUUUACACACGUUUGUCAAGAUAAUGUUUUGUAAACGAAAGGUGGACGUUUCACAGCAGGGCCUGAGAAGUCGCGCUGGUUGGGACCAGAAGACAGCUUCAGGCCGAAGCUCCUGCCGCAUGAAUAGGUCCUGCCUUGCAGCUUGUGGACAAGCGAGUGAGAGGCCUGGAGGAGCCUGAGGGGUCUAUGACAGACGCAGCGGUGCGGCCUGCCUGCUGACCGCCGGCGUUCACUCACCUCCGCUCAAAGCCCCCUCCCCUCCCCGCCGCUUGCUAUUCACAGAGUAGAAGCCAGGCGUGGACUGGUUUCAAUGACUUCAAGACACAGAUGCUGCAAUUACCUUCAGAAGCAGGAGCGCGAUGGACUUUGAGUGGUGGUAGGCUUUCAGGACGGUGGGCCGUGCAGGGGCCACGUUUAUGGCUGCUAAUCCUUUCAGGUCGUCAGCACCCAUUGAUCUCUCUACUUUCAGCUGUUGUCAACACAGAUGGUACGGGGCUUGGAAUGCAGAGCAGGCAAACCCUGCUUGUAUUUAUGCUUUACACUCUCAUACUGGAGAUUUAAUUAUGAAUACUAGUACAAAAGAAAGAGUAGUUUCAUCAUAUUUUAUCUGCCCGUUGUUAAAACUAGUCAGGACACCUAUACAGACUCCGAGAUAGGCUAAUGUUAAAGAAUUUCAUAUAUUUUAAAUACAUAAAUGGAUAGUAUAUCCAUGCAUACCCGUGUAUGUAUAUGUAUAUCCAUGAAAGAGAAGAUUUAAAAAUUAGACUUGUUUUUGUAAUAAAGUGCUUACUUCUUAAUGUAGUAGUUACAUUACCAAUAGGAAGAAUUUGAAAUUUUUUCCUUAUUUUAAAAGAUGAAAAAUGUGCAUGAUUGUAUUAUUCUAACAGAAUGUUAGAGCAGCAGUCAUCAGCUUUGUGCAAAUGAGACUCACAGGACAGGGACACAGAUGCCUUCAGAGACGACAACCCUGCAUAGGUCUCAGGGUUUCACUUUCUCGAGAGGCCGGAGGGUGGGCUGUGGGGCCGUGACCACGCUGGGAGAAGCCCAGCCUCGGGGGCCCGGGCAGCCCUCUGCCGGUUCCUCCCUCACUCUCGAGCCUUCGAUGUUCACAUUCAGUCCUGCUGCCUGGACCCACUGUCUUGUCUUCCAGACUUUCCACUCUCUGUCCAGCCAGCUUUCUUUUGUGACUCUGUCGAAGGUCCCUCUUACCUCUCGCUGCCCGUCAGGCUGCAUUUCUUCCUUUGGUCAGAUGAUGAUCCUUUGUGUAUGUCCCCACCAAAGAACUCAGAGCCUGUCCACAUUUCUUAGCUGUCUUUCAUUCUCCGAGCUACUUGAGGGCAGUGACUGCUUCAUCAUCACUGGCACACCCAAAGCCUACCAUGGUCCCUGGCAACAGGCAUGGUCUGUAAAAGUGUGUUGCAUGACAGAUGUUGGCUCAGGACUAAUCUUCCUCAGCAAAACAAACAAACAAACAAAGUGUGUUGCAUGAAGGAUAAAUACUAAUGCGGAUUUAACCAAGGACAGAACCUACAUUAUGAAGAAUGAGCCCUUUUGAAGAAAGCUUGCUGGUGGAUGCUGCAGUACACCUCUCAGAUCUCUCCUUUCAAAACCAGGUGCUCACUCCCCAGCUGCUGGCAGCGUGGCCUGCUGGGAGCUCACACUCAUUGCUUCCCAGUGUGUUCAUUUCCCAGGGUGGGCCGCCGUUGCUACAGUGACAAACAUGUACAACAGAGAAAUAAACAACCAAACGCGUUCUCUCAUAGUCCUGGAGGGCAGGAGCCUGAGGUCCAGGUAUCGGCAGGGCCUGCUCCUCCUGAAGCCUCUAGAGGAGAUUUCUUUGCCUCUUCCAGUUUCCGGUGGCUCUAGGCAUUUCUUGCUUGUGGCUGCAUCAUUCCAGACUCUGCUUAUGUCCUUUCAUGGCCUGCUCUUCUUUCUAUGUCUCUCCUCUGUGUGUCUCUUAUAAGGACACUUAUUAUUAGAUUUAGGGCACACCCGGAUAAUCCAAAAUGAUCUCAUCUCUAGAGCCUUCACUUCGUUACAUCUGCAAAGACUCUUUUUCCAACUAAGGUCCCAGUUCUCAGGGCUAGGACAUGAACACAUCUUUGGUGGGGCGGGGAUGGGAUGCUCCAAGUCUGUGGUCAUUUGCCACGGCAGCCCUAGGAAACCACACUGGGUGCAUAUUCCCCUGACAAAAGGGAGCUGCCCUGGAUGAGGCCAUGCCCUCUACGGUGGGCAGACCUUACUCAGUGCCUGGUCAAUGGUGGGGUACAUAAAGGCUGGUCCGCUUGCCUCAGUUGGUGACAACUCUGAAGGAUCAUCUCAGCUCCAGAGCUCUCCAUGGGAGAGGCGGAGGUCUCUGUUUCGACUCUGUCACAAAUCAACUCCCCUCCCACCCUCUGCCAGCUCCUCCCUCCAGCACGUGUCACGGGUUCUGACUGGGAGGGUGGGCACUCCCAGGAAGCCACCUGCAUCAGUUUCAUAAUGUGUUUUCUGCUGAACUCUACUGACAACAUGUAUCAAUUUAUUAGGACUAAAAAUUUGUUGAAAAUAUCAUUUAUUCUUCUGGGUAAUCUUCUUGAAUUCAGCCAAGGUAAUAUAAGCUGUAUGCAAAUAGGUGAUGUUGUUAAAUAAAAAUGAAUGGUGAAGUAGUUCCUACUUCUUUGGUAGUGGUUUUUACUUCAUUCGUUUACACGUGGGGGCUCCAAAGACUGUCCACUCUAAUCGCAUGAGCACCGUCUAUAGAGCUGGUGUGAAUAGCAGUGAUUGAGUAAAUAUUAUUCCAUAUGGACACUUUUUAUGACUACUCUUGGCUUCUUUCU